rnacentral:rRNA from 1 species
GAUGAACGCUAGCGGCAGGCUUAAUACAUGCAAGUCGUGGGGCAGCAUGAAUGUAGCAAUACAUUUGAUGGCGACCGGCAAACGGGUGCGGAACACGUACACAACCUUCCUAUAAGUGGGGAAUAGCCCAGAGACAUUUGGAUUAAUACCCCGUAACAUAAUGAUAUGGCAUCAUAUUAUUAUUAUAGCUUCGGCGCUUAUUGAUGGGUGUGCGGCUGAUUAGAUAGUUGGCGGGGUAACGGCCCACCAAGUCUACGAUCAGUAGCUGAUGUGAGAGAAUGAUCAGCCACACGGGCACUGAGACACGGGCCCGACUCCUACGGGAGGCAGCAGUAAGGAAUAUUGGUCAAUGGACGCAAGUCUGAACCAGCCAUGCCGCGUGAAGGAUUAAGGUCCUCUGGAUUGUAAACUUCUUUUAUCUGGGACGAAAAAAGGCUUUUCUAAGUCACUUGACGGUACCAGAUGAAUAAGCACCGGCUAACUCCGUGCCAGCCGCCGCCGUAA